UAAAUCACCGGUUUCUUUCUCUCUGGCUGCCGUGUUUGUGGGCUAAUUCGGAGGAGUUGAGAUCUGAUGGCUUCCAGCUCGAACAAGUUAUUACAAAAGAAGCUUCUCAUCUAACAUUUUAUUGCAUGAGAAUUAUUCCUAGAUUGA